rnacentral:rRNA from 1 species
AUUUGSUGGGAUGCAUUUACUUGCUUGGGGCUUGGGGAUGUCUGAGGCAGAUUUGUGUCCGCGGGUUUGAGGACAGCUUGCUGGUACCCAAACGGGGUUAGCAUUUUUUGUCUUGGACAUUUGAGUAUGGCUGACGGGCAUUUCCCGGCUUGAUCUGCGKGCAAGUGACGGUCGCAUGCCACACAUGGUUUUCAAUUAAAUCCGUCCAGUUAAUGCUCUCGGACUCCUUCCCCAUGUAAAAGGCGGGCAUCUAUCCCACCCGCCUUGAAACACCGACCAAGGACUUUAUCGAGUGCGCAAGUUUUUGGGCGAUAAAAACCUAAAAGUGAAAUGAAAGGAAAUGGCUCUUUAAAGCCUGAUGGGCGAUCUUGAAAAAAAGUGCAGCAUGGCCCCAUUCUAACUGUUUACAGUAGGGUGGAGGAAGAACGCACRCCGUGAGACCCGAAAGAUGGUGAAAUAUUCCUGAGCAGGACGAAGCCAGAGGAAACUCUGGUGGAAGUCCGAAGCGGUUCUGACGUGCAAAUCGAUCGUCUGACUUGGGUAUAGGGGCGAAAGACUAAUCGAA